rnacentral:rRNA from 1 species
GGCUACGGCCAUAUCACGAUGAAUGCACCUCAUCCCAACGAUUUGAGAAGUUAAGCAUCGUCGAGCCACAUCAGUACUGAGGUUGGAGACAACUUGGGAACCUGUGGUGCUGUAGUCU